GGUUAAGCGACUAAGCGUACACGGUGGAUGCCCUGGCAGUCAGAGGCGAUGAAGGACGUGCUAAUCUGCGAUAAGCGUCGGUAAGGUGAUAUGAACCGUUAUAACCGGCGAUUUCCGAAUGGGGAAACCCAGUGUGAUUCGUCACACUAUCAUUAACUGAAUCCAUAGGUUAAUGAGGCGAACCGGGGGAACUGAAACAUCUAAGUACCCCGAGGAAAAGAAAUCAACCGAGAUUCCCCCAGUAGCGGCGAGCGAACGGGGAGCAGCCCAGAGCCUGAAUCAGUGUGUGUGUUAGUGGAAGCGUCUGGAAAGGCGCGCGAUACAGGGUGACAGCCCCGUACACAAAAAUGCACAUACUGUGAGCUCGAUGAGUAGGGCGGGACACGUGGUAUCCUGUCUGAAUAUGGGGGGACCAUCCUCCAAGGCUAAAUACUCCUGACUGACCGAUAGUGAACCAGUACCGUGAGGGAAAGGCGAAAAGAACCCCGGCGAGGGGAGUGAAAAAGAACCUGAAACCGUGUACGUACAAGCAGUGGGAGCACAGAGCAAUCUGUGUGACUGCGUACCUUUUGUAUAAUGGGUCAGCGACUUAUAUUCUGUAGCAAGGUUAACCGAAUAGGGGAGCCGAAGGGAAACCGAGUCUUAACUGGGCGUUAAGUUGCAGGGUAUAGACCCGAAACCCGGUGAUCUAGCCAUGGGCAGGUUGAAGGUUGGGUAACACUAACUGGAGGACCGAACCGACUAAUGUUGAAAAAUUAGCGGAUGACUUGUGGCUGGGGGUGAAAGGCCAAUCAAACCGGGAGAUAGCUGGUUCUCCCCGAAAGCUAUUUAGGUAGCGCCUCGUGAAUUCAUCUCCGGGGGUAGAGCACUGUUUCGGCAAGGGGGUCAUCCCGACUUACCAACCCGAUGCAAACUGCGAAUACCGGAGAAUGUUAUCACGGGAGACACACGGCGGGUGCUAACGUCCGUCGUGAAGAGGGAAACAACCCAGACCGCCAGCUAAGGUCCCAAAGUCAUGGUUAAGUGGGAAACGAUGUGGGAAGGCCCAGACAGCCAGGAUGUUGGCUUAGAAGCAGCCAUCAUUUAAAGAAAGCGUAAUAGCUCACUGGUCGAGUCGGCCUGCGCGGAAGAUGUAACGGGGCUAAACCAUGCACCGAAGCUGCGGCAGCGACGCUGAUGCGUUGUUGGGUAGGGGAGCGUUCUGUAAGCCUGUGAAGGUGUGCUGUGAGGCAUGCUGGAGGUAUCAGAAGUGCGAAUGCUGACAUAAGUAACGAUAAAGCGGGUGAAAAGCCCGCUCGCCGGAAGACCAAGGGUUCCUGUCCAACGUUAAUCGGGGCAGGGUGAGUCGACCCCUAAGGCGAGGCCGAAAGGCGUAGUCGAUGGGAAACAGGUUAAUAUUCCUGUACUUGGUGUUACUGCGAAGGGGGGACGGAGAAGGCUAUGUUGGCCGGGCGACGGUUGUCCCGGUUUAAGCGUGUAGGCUGGUUUUCCAGGCAAAUCCGGAAAAUCAAGGCUGAGGCGUGAUGACGAGGCACUACGGUGCUGAAGCAACAAAUGCCCUGCUUCCAGGAAAAGCCUCUAAGCAUCAGGUAACAUCAAAUCGUACCCCAAACCGACACAGGUGGUCAGGUAGAGAAUACCAAGGCGCUUGAGAGAACUCGGGUGAAGGAACUAGGCAAAAUGGUGCCGUAACUUCGGGAGAAGGCACGCUGAUAUGUAGGUGAAGUCCCUCGCGGAUGGAGCUGAAAUCAGUCGAAGAUACCAGCUGGCUGCAACUGUUUAUUAAAAACACAGCACUGUGCAAACACGAAAGUGGACGUAUACGGUGUGACGCCUGCCCGGUGCCGGAAGGUUAAUUGAUGGGGUUAGCGCAAGCGAAGCUCUUGAUCGAAGCCCCGGUAAACGGCGGCCGUAACUAUAACGGUCCUAAGGUAGCGAAAUUCCUUGUCGGGUAAGUUCCGACCUGCACGAAUGGCGUAAUGAUGGCCAGGCUGUCUCCACCCGAGACUCAGUGAAAUUGAACUCGCUGUGAAGAUGCAGUGUACCCGCGGCAAGACGGAAAGACCCCGUGAACCUUUACUAUAGCUUGACACUGAACAUUGAGCCUUGAUGUGUAGGAUAGGUGGGAGGCUUUGAAGUGUGGACGCCAGUCUGCAUGGAGCCGACCUUGAAAUACCACCCUUUAAUGUUUGAUGUUCUAACGUUGACCCGUAAUCCGGGUUGCGGACAGUGUCUGGUGGGUAGUUUGACUGGGGCGGUCUCCUCCUAAAGAGUAACGGAGGAGCACGAAGGUUGGCUAAUCCUGGUCGGACAUCAGGAGGUUAGUGCAAUGGCAUAAGCCAGCUUGACUGCGAGCGUGACGGCGCGAGCAGGUGCGAAAGCAGGUCAUAGUGAUCCGGUGGUUCUGAAUGGAAGGGCCAUCGCUCAACGGAUAAAAGGUACUCCGGGGAUAACAGGCUGAUACCGCCCAAGAGUUCAUAUCGACGGCGGUGUUUGGCACCUCGAUGUCGGCUCAUCACAUCCUGGGGCUGAAGUAGGUCCCAAGGGUAUGGCUGUUCGCCAUUUAAAGUGGUACGCGAGCUGGGUUUAGAACGUCGUGAGACAGUUCGGUCCCUAUCUGCCGUGGGCGCUGGAGAAUUGAGGGGGGCUGCUCCUAGUACGAGAGGACCGGAGUGGACGCAUCACUGGUGUUCGGGUUGUCAUGCCAAUGGCACUGCCCGGUAGCUAAAUGCGGAAGAGAUAAGUGCUGAAAGCAUCUAAGCACGAAACUUGCCCCGAGAUGAGUUCUCCCUGACUCCUUGAGAGUCCUGAAGGAACGUUGAAGACGACGACGUUGAUAGGCCGGGUGUGUAAGCGCAGCGAUGCGUUGAGCUAACCGGUACUAAUGAACCGUGAGGCUUAACCUU
rnacentral:rRNA from 1 species